rnacentral:tmRNA from 1 species
GGGGCCGUUUUGGUUUUGACAGCAAAGAUCUUUGCAGGUGUAAGCAUGUACAGCGUUGCGUAAUUAGCUGUUUAAUCUGAAUACGAAAACUUUAAAUGGCAAUACUCAGUAUGCCAUGGCUGCCUAAUUAUUAAUUAGACAACCAUUAGGGCCGCCGCACAGGAUUUCCUGUUUCCAAGUGCCGCCGCCGACAUCAAAAAAUUACAGGAUGCUGUGCUGGAAUGAUGUGACCAGCGCUUAAGAACAUUCUUCUAAGGAUUUAGUUGGUUUGUUAUGUUCCUGCUUUUUCCCGACAAUUAAUUCAUAAAUAAACAUGUAGAAAGCUUGCGGCGAAUUUGUUUGGACACCGGUUCGAGUCCGGUCGGCUCCACUU